UACGUAGGGGGCAAGCGUUGUCCGGAAUUAUUGGGCGUAAAGAGCGCGUAGGCGGUCCGGUAAGUCGGCUGUGAAAGUCAAGGGCUCAACCCUUGAAAGCCGGCCGAUACUGUCGGACUAGAGUCCGGAAGAGGCGAGUGGAAUUCCCGGUGUAGCGGUGAAAUGCGCAGAUAUCGGGAGGAACACCAAUGGCGAAGGCAGCUCACUGGGCUAUCACUGACGCUGAGGCACGAAAGCGUGGGGAGCGAGCAGG
rnacentral:rRNA from 1 species